rnacentral:rRNA from 1 species
GACAGAGGUGCCGAGCGUUAGGCGGAAUCACUGGGCUUAAAGCGUGUGUAGGUGGAUCGUUAAGUACCUUGUGAAAUCCCACGGCUUAACCGUGGAACUGCUCGGUAUACUGGCGAUCUUGAGCCACCUAGGGGCAACCGGAACAAAUGGUGGAGCGGUGAAAUGCGUAGAUAUCAUUUGGAACGCCAAUGGUGAAAACAGGUUGCUGGGGGUGUGCUGACGCUGAGACACGAAAGCCAGGGGAGCGAACGGG